UCGAGGGGCGGCGCGCACACCUCAGCGAGAACGAGCUUUUCAAUACAGCGCAUCCAGGUGACUUACUUAAGCGUUCUAAAACACUCUGUUAAAGCUCUCCUUGCAAGUUUACUCAGAUUUAUUAAAAAAAAAAAAAAAGAAAGAAAGGCACAAGUUUCCCAGACUCGCUAGUAGGAGCGGUCGCCUAUUUCCCCUUCGAGAGAAGCGCCUGCGCGCCGUUUCCCGCCCGCCUGAGCACGCCCCGGCGUCCGGGCGCGGCCGCCACGGCAGCCCGCGCUGAGACUGACGGCUAGGCGCGCCGCCACGCUGAGCUCCGUCUCCCCGUCCGUCAAGGGGGGAUAACGCGAUCGACCCGGAGACACGGCGACGGGCGCCCAGUAAACGCUCGGCGCAGCUCUCCAGUGACGCGACCGAGGAAAGCAAGCAACACCGGCCUCUUGACUUCGCUCCCCGCCAGUGAACCCCCCAGCCCUACGCAGGGACAGGACUGGACAGCGCGGAGAACACAGGAGCCAGAGUGAGGGCCCAGCUGAGAAGAGGGCUCAGAGGCCGGAGCUGGUCCAGGAGAGAGUCUCGGUCUCCACCACGGUCACGGUCACGGUCACGGAGGAGAACUUGUUCCAGGCUCUGCACUGCGGAAGAUUCAAAACUGGCGCACAGACUACUCAAUAUCAACUGCAAAAUAAGUAGAGUGCAAAAUUGACACAAAAAUUUGGGAUACACAAUAGCACUUAAACAAUUGAGGGAGGGGCUGUAACGAUGUAGCAGGCAUUCACUUUUCCUUCCACGGGGAAGAAAAUGGAGAACAGUUGCUCUAAAUUCUGCAGAAGGUUCUCUGCUGCCCCUUUUCCUGCUGCACAUUCACACCUCGAACCCUGCACUUGGCCUCAGACCCACCUCGUAGCUGAAGCUCCUGAUCCGUGACUUCUGAUGAGCCGCUGCCUGUGACAGCGAUGCCGCCGUCUCCGUCUGGAAACUCGCUCCCCUGUUCUGGACACAGACUCUGUGGUCUCUGCUCCACGUUCUUCCUUGUGUUGCUCACGUUUCUCAAGUAUGGCUUGUCUGUCACUUUGUCUGAUAAGUAAAAGCUGCUCCCCCCACCCCAUGUUCCACUUAUUUGGGCUAUUUAUUCUAGAAUGUGAACUAAAAAGCAAACCAUUUAAAAAUAAAUUUCCUU